GACGAACGCUGGCGGCGUGCUUAACACAUGCAAGUUGAACGGAAUAUGUUGGAAGGGUAACCGGAAGGCAUAUUUAGUGGCGAACGGGUGAGUAAUGCAUGAGAACGUAUCCUCAAGAGGGGGACAACAUUGGGAAACCGAUGCUAAUACCCCAUAAGCCGGGAGGUAAAAGGAGCAAUCCGCUUGAGGAGCGGUUCAUGUCCUAUCAGCUGGUUGGUGAGGUAACGGCUCACCAAGGCGAAGACGGGUAGCCGGCCUGAGAGGGUGAACGGCCACACUGGAACUGAGAGACGGUCCAGACUCCUACGGGAGGCAGCAGUGGGGAAUAUUGGGCAAUGGGGGAAACCCUGACCCAGCGACGCCGCGUGAGGGAAGAAGGCCUUAGGGUCGUAAACCUCUG
rnacentral:rRNA from 1 species